GGUUUUGGGGGUGCUGACCCCCCCGGCUCCCCCCAGAGAUGCCACCGGACACCGUCCGCAGCAAGAUCCUGGUGGGGGUCGGGGGCUUCGUCUUGGGCUUGGUCUUCCUGGCGCUGGGGCUCGGCUUCUACCUGCGGGAGAAGAGCUUCUGAGCCACCGGCGGCCGCAGCCCCUCCCCGUGGCCUCGGGCCCAGCCGGGACCCCCCAAACCCUGCGCUGAUUUGGGGGGGGUCGCCUGUCCCCCCCUUCCCUGCAUUUCUUCCCACACUAACCAGCUGUUCCCAGUGUUCCCAGUAAAGCUUCUUAGUGCUCUGCA